AUGGGCUGGUAUCGGCAGAGACCCGGGCAGGGGCUGGAAUACGUCGCAAGUAUCACCAACAAUGGUGGUUACACCAACUACGCGCCGUCGUUCAAGGGCCGGUUCACGAUCUCCAGGGACAACGGGCAGAGCUCGGUGACGCUGACCAUGAACAACCUCAAGGACGAGGAUUCCGGAUCCUAUUUCUGUGCCAAACAUUUUGGGCUCCGGGCGGCCGUGACCCUGCUGGAGUCCGGGGGGGACCUCCAGCCCCCCGGGGGGUCCCUGCGCCUCCUCUGCCGAGGGUCUGGCUUCGAUUUCGGACGAUUCAGUUUGAUGUGGAGUCGCCAGGGGCAGGGGAAGGGGCUGGAAUACGUUGCAGGGAUUGACAGCGAUGGAUACACCCGGUACCCGCCAUCGUUCAAGGGCCGGGUCAGGAUCUCCAGGGACAACGGGCAGAGCUCGGUGACGCUGACCAUGAACAACCUCAAGGACGAGGAUUCCGGAUCCUAUUUCUGUGCCAAAUCCACUGGUGCUGGUUGGACUGCUGGUGAUGCUGGUCUUGUUGACAACGGGGAUGGUGUCCUCACCACAUCUCCGAGUCCCCCCGUCCCCAGAGCCCAGACCCUUCCCCCAGACCCCAACCCCAGACCCAGCUCUUGA